AUUAUCCCUAUUAAAAUAUAACCGAAAAAAUAAUUAAUAAACUGAAAAUACACUGAAAUUAAACUGAAAAUACACUGAAAUUAAACUGAAAUUAAAAACAAUAAUACUGAUAUUAAACUGAAAUUAAAAAAAAUAAUACAAUAAUUAAAUAUAUAUAUAUAUAUGUGCUACAGUAACUUUAAAAAAAAUUGAAAAGAAC
rnacentral:lncRNA from 1 species